UUGUUCUUUCUUGUAACUUUCCAAUUCUUGCCCUGAUUUCCAGCCAAAACAGUAAAUAGACUCUCAUUGUUAUACAGCAUAGUAACAAGGACUAUGAUAAAAAAUUUAAAACUCCUGCAGUAAACAGAGGAAUUCUUUGUUUUUCAAGCAGAGAAAAAAGAAUCGAUUCACAAAGAUAGAGGCAAGGACAAAGAAGUUCAAUGUUGUCUGAACCAUAUAAAAGCAAAAGGAGCUCCUUAAAUCUGGAGUUCAUGAAGCACUGAAGCAGCAAGAAAUGAUUGAUUCAAGCUUGUAUUGAACUGCCUGGAUCUCACGAAGAAUCCUACCUGUCAGACAUACUCACAUACACGUUCUCAGUCGUCAAAUUCUCCCUAAGACAACUUACGAGUCUCAUAUCUUCUUAAAAUCUUCGGGCCAUAUGUAGGUAAAGAUAGCCGCCAACUACCUAAUCAAUUUGAGGGACAUAAAUAACUACAGGCAAUGACUUGCAUAUCUCUGUAAGUAGUUUGAUAGGAUCCUGUAUUUUCUGUACUUAUAAAUGGAAACAAAGGAUUAAAGGCACAAGUAUGGAUGAAUAAAAAGGAACUAUAAUGCAGAAUUUUAUUGAUGAAGGCGAGUGAACAGCUUCCUGGGAAAUUCGAGAGACCCAGUAACUCUCCUCACAGACUUCACCAGCCACUAGAUAGAUUUCUAUUUCCCCCCUCCCAUACAUUUAUUUCCCCACCCCAAAGUUCAACUCCCCAAAAUGCCCCUAUCUCUAACUAAUAACAGAUAUGAGGGAAACCGAAUUGGUUUUCCCUGAACAGAAUUAGUUUCCGUGUCUCGAGAGCCCAUCUGCCUCCCUAUUCUUUUUCCUUGUGUAUAUGAAGAGAACCAGGGGUCUAUCAUUACCCCCUUCCCCAAAAUCCACCUUGUCCUCAAGGUGAAAGUCAUAAAACUGUUGUCUGAUGAUGUUGAAAGGCUCCCAAGUAGCUUCAAAAUCCGGGGCAUCCUUCCACUUGAUGAGAACUUCCGGUCCCAUGCUCGAGUCUGUGCUGGGGUAUCGAACUUGUAACACUGCUUCUAGCUGUACUGUGAACUGUCCAUUUGCUGAUAGUUGGGAAGGUAGUUGGCAAACUGUCUGGACUGCCCCAACCGCCCUUCGUAGCUGUGACACAUGAAACACUGAAUGGAUGGCAGCCUCUUUCGGAAGUUUUAAUUUAUACACGACUUGUCCCACUUUUGCCUCAACUUCAAAUGGUCCAUAGUAGCGCAGGGAGAGUUUUGCUGACGGUCUGCUAGACACAGACCUUUGGCGAUAAGGCCUUAACUUGAGGUAUACUCUUUCCCCAACCUCAAAUUGAAUGUCCCUGCACUGGCCAUCUACUUCCUGUUUCAUUCGCUGCUGUGCACGUUGCAGCUGUAAUUUCAAUUCCAGUAACACUUCAUCCCUUGCAACUAAAGCUUGCUCGACUGAUAACACAACUGUACUUCCCUUCUCAAAUGGAAGAACCGGCCUUGCAACUAAAGCUUGCUCGACUGAUAACACAACUGUACUUCCCUUCUCAAAUGGAAGAACCGGGGGAGGGGCGCGCCCCUAUCCUAUCUGAAAGGGGGUAUGUUUAGUUGCUAUGUGAAAGGAAGUAUUAUACCAAAAUUCUGCCCAAGGUAACCACUGGCUCCAAGAACGAGGCUUACCCGAGGCAAAACAUCUCAAGUAAGUUUCCAAACACCGGUUCACCACUUCGGAUUGGCCAUCCGUUUGUGGGUGGUACGCUGUGCUCCGUUUGAGGACCGUUCCCUAUGAUCUGAAUAACUCCUCCCAAAAUUUACUCAUAAAGACCCGAUCCCUGUCAGAUACUAUAGACUGAGGAAUGCCGUGCAACCGAACAAUCUCGCGGAGGAAAACAUUGGCUACUGACUGAGCAGUAAAUGGAUGCUCAAGGCAGAUGAAAUGGAUGUACUUACUCAAACGAUCGACAACCACCAAUAUAGUGUCCCAUCCCUCUGAUUUAGGUAACCCUUCAAUAAAGUCCAUGGAGAUGUCCGCCCAAAUUAGUUCUGGAAUUGGUAGCGACUGUAAUAGGCCCUGAGGUGACAAGUACUUAUUUUGCUGACACACCCCACAUCUUGCCACAAAAUCCCUCACAUCUUUCUUCAUUCCCUUCUAAUACACCUCAUGUACUAUUCUUCUAUACGUUUUGAGGAAGCCCGAAUGGCCACCAACUCGGGACUCGUGACACUGUUCAUCAUUAGCUCCGGAAAUUGGGAUGCUUUCGGCAACACAAUCCUGCCCUUGUAGCAUAAAACCCCAUCUAGCACAGAAUAGCCUGGUCUGAUCUCCGCCCCUAUUACACAGCUAUCUACUAUUCCUCUCAGUUCAUCAUUAGCUACCACUUUCUUGAUCUCUUCUAGUUGCAACACUUCAGGCAUAGAUAAGGUUAGAACACUCAAAAUCGGUUCAACCUGGAGAGUGCGUCCACAGCCCUAUUUUCAAGCCCCGGACGAUACUGAAUAUCAAAAUCAAAACCCAGCAGUUUCGUAACCCAUUUCUGAUGACCUUCACUAAUUAGCCAUUGCUCAAGUAGGAAUUUCAAACUGCGCUGGUCAGUCCUUACCACAAAAUGUCGUCCCAACAAGUAGUGGCGCCAUUUUUGUACAGCCAACACAAUCGCCAUUAGUUCCCACUCAUACACAGACUUCUGUCGAGCAGUGCGUGGCAACACCUGACUAAAGUAGGCUAUGGGAUGAUGACUUUGCAUCAGAACCGCCCCCAAUCCAUGGCCCAAUGCAUCGGUUUCCACCACGAACAACUGAGAAAAUUUUGGCAAGGCCAAGACAGGAGCUUGCGUCAUUGCUGAUUUCAAACUACAAAAAGCUGCCUCUGCACUUGCAUUCCAGCCGAAACAAUCUUUCUUAAGGAGCUCUGUUAACGGCCAAGCAAUCUUGGCAUAACCCGCUACAAAACGCCGAUAGUAUCCCCUGAGCCCUAGGAACCCACACAACUCUUUCAAAUUUUGGGGUUUAGGCCAAUUGCACAUCGCCUCAAUUUCUUAUUUAUCUGCCGCUACCCCUUUUCCGGAUAUGACAUGACCCAGGUAUUCAAUUUGUUGCUGUCCAAACGUGCAUUUCUUCUCAUUUGCAAACAAUUGAUGCCUUAGUAGGCAUUCUAAAACGAUGUUCAAAUGGUGCUCGUGUUCUUCUGCUGAUUUACUGUAGACAAAUAUAUCAUCAAAAAACACCAGCACAAAUUUUCUGAGAUGCUGCUGGAAAACUUCGUUCAUCAGACCUUGAAAAGUUGCGGGUGCAUUAGUCAAACCGAACGGCAUGACUAAGAAUUCGUAAUGACCCUCGUGAGUUCUAAAAGCUGCUUUGGAAACAUCUUCUUCCUUCAUUCUGAUCUGGUGAUACCCCGAUUUUAGGUCCAACUUCGAAAAAAUUACAGCCUCAUGCAACUCCUCUAGCAACUCAUCAAUUACCGGAAUAGGAAAUCUGUUUGGCACCGUAAUUUUGUUGAGGGCACGGUAAUCUACACAAAAGCGCCAACUGCUGUCUUUCUUCUUAACUAAUAAGACUGGGCUCGAAAAAGGACUGCAACUAGGUUGUAUGAUUCCCGCAGUAAGCAUAUCCCUGACCAGUCGCUCAAUCUCAUUUUUUUUAAAAUAAGGAUAUCGGUACGGCCGGACAUUCACGGGAGCUGAUCCCGGCUGUAACACAAUUUCAUGAUCUCGAGGGCGAGGGGGGGAAUCAUAUCCAGCCACUCGAAAACCUCCUUGUAGUGCUGUAGCAAUUUACCGAACGGUUCAGCAACCCCAGGCACAUCCCUCUCUUCUUCCACCCCCAUACUUCCAAGCUCUAAUAGUACCCCUUGGUCGCCCUCUAAAGGUUUUAACCAUAGAUUUGAUUAAGACCUAUGACUUCUGUAGGCUUAAAUCACCUUGCAGCAGCACUGUGUUCCCCCUACUUGGAACUUCAUUGUUAAUUUUCCCCAAUUAACCUACAUCUUUCCCAACGUCCCCAACCAUUUCACACCCAAAAUAACAUCAGUACAUCCCAAUUGUAAUGGUAGGAAAUCAUCGACUACAUCAAUGUUUGGUAAGGAUAUCAUCACCCCUCUACAAAUGCUCCCACCACUGACUGACAUCCCUGUACCCAUGAGGACUCCAUACCUGGUCGUAGUUGAUGUGGGCAGUUUCAGCUGCUUUACCAACUCCAUGGAGAUGAAGUUGUGGGUGGCCCCACAAUCAAUAAGCACCACCACGUCUUUUCCCGAAAUGAACCCAACUACAUGGUUUUUGGCGUACUUAGUCCCACUACCGAAUUAAUUGACAGCUCUAUCGUUUCCCCUACCUCAAUUCCUUCCUCCCCCUCUAAUUGUUCCACCCCAUCCUCAACUCCUUCUUCCUCUUGCACCACCAAGACCUGCAGCUCUCUAUUCCGGCAUCUGUGACCCGGCCCGUACUUCUCAUCACAACGGUAACAUAAACCCUUCUCCCUUUUCAACUGCAAUUCGGCGUCGGUUAGCCUCUUGAAUGGCGACGACCCUUUAGCUGUGGUCGGCGCGCGUAACACUGUCGUGGGUUUCGCUGUGGACGGCAAGGGCUGACCGUGGGACAAUGGCUGAUAACGAGGCUUAAAAGGGCUGCAGUCUGCUGGUGGGCUCGAAUAAUUGCUCUUCUGCUUAGAGGGGCCAGAAAAUAUUUGGGCCUGUUUUAUAGUUUCAUUCCUUUCUUCCACGCGCUGGGCUAAUUCCAUAAUAUGGUCCAACCCACGUGGUUUAAACAUGCGUACCUCAGCCCGAAUAUCUGGCUUCAGCCCAUUAAGGAAAUUACCCUCCAUCACUUCUUCACUGAUCGUCGUUAAUGGUGCUGCCAGGACCUCAAACAUACGCCGAUACUCACGCACCGAGCCCUCCUGACUCAACGCCAGGAAUUUCUCCAGAUUCGAUCCCUCUUGGGGAGGCCGAAAUCGUUGCAGCAGUAGUGAUUUUAAAUCCUCCCACCUUUUAACGGGCUGUCGACUAUCUUCCCAUUGAAACCAUGCUAGAGCCUCCCCCUCGAAGCUCGCUGCUGCCUCAUCAAUUUUCUCCCAAUUUGAUAACUGGUUCAUAGUGAAAUACCGUUCAGCACGAAAAAUCCAGCCAUCUGGGUUCUCGCCGUCGAACACCGGCAUUUCAAGUCGGCGGGUUCGAUUUUCUGCUCGCCCGGCUUCCUCCCUGACUCUACUGCCCUCGCUGUGGGUACCCAGCUCGUCAGGCUUUGGUGGAAUUUCGUUGGGCUGGGUGGGUUCUGCUGAACCUUCUACCUUACCCUUCUCUGUCUUCUCCCUUUCCUAAACUUCCCACUUGUUCAUUAUCACAUCAAACUUAUCCAUCAGUCCACUUAUAUUUCUCUCUAAUUCCUAUUGAACCCCAUCUAAUUUCUCCUCCAACGUGACAACCCAAUCAGUAAGGGUCAUCCUUCCAGGUGGAUGCUCUGAUACCAAAUUGAUAGGAUCCUGUAUUUUCUGUACUUAUAAAUGGAAACAAAGGAUUAAAGGCACAAGUAUGGAUGAAUAAAAAGGAACUAUAAUGCAGAAUUUUAUUGAUGAAGGCGAGUGAACAGCUUCCUGGGAAAUUCGAGAGACCCAGUAACUCUCCUCACAGACUUCAC
rnacentral:lncRNA from 1 species